UGGUUUUAAUACUGGUAUUAAGGUAAAAAUUCUGCCUUGUGAUUUGUUUGCUUACAACCCCCCAACUUAAUUUCCUCUCAACUAACUAAUUUUGCUAUCAGUGUCCCCCUUUAUUUUGUCUGUUCACCAACUUUACAUUGCACAGAUGGAUAAAAUCAUCCAACAUUUGUUUUUUACUUCUAACAUUAUAUAUAACUGUCUUGAGUGCUUUACAUUUAUUUGCUGCAAGUGAUAACUUUUCAUCACUUUGUAUAGGUGCUCAUUUUUUAUACAAGUGUUUUGGGUUUGUUUUUAGAAAUACACCUAGCAGUGUUGAUUAGAGUUCCUCCUGGCUUUUGUUUGUGGAUUGAUCUCUGUGCUGGUGCUCAAGGGAUCCACCACAUGGUACCAGGAUAGAACCCAGGCCUCCCACAUGAAAAACAUGCCCUCAGAGAGUUUUCUCUCUGAACUUCUAUGUCCAGUCUUUCAUGAUUAACAUUUCAACUGCUUCUAUAUUUCAGGUAUUAUGAAUAACAAUAUUA